rnacentral:tRNA from 1 species
GCGCCCGUGGCGGAACUGGCAGACGCGCUGGAUUUAGGUUCCAGUGUCUUUGACGUGGGAGUUCGAGUCUCCCCGGGCGCACCA